UCCAUUUUCAAAGGAACGCACGCAUCUCAGGUGGUGAUAUGUUUCACACAACAGAGGCUCCUUGCUCACAUCACUGGAUGUAUCCCACGCCGUGCCAACCAGUCGCCGUAAACCAGCUAAUUUUAUGGUAGGAUCCCAGAUGACAGUUUCAGGAUUGUGUGGUGAGAGCCGAAGGUCCAGACUGUAACAUGCGCUGUGACCGUUGCUAGGUAGCAUAUCCAAGUCAGGGCUGAACCAUCCUAUUUGGUCUGACUCGGUCGACACAACUGAGCGACAUGGUGCUCGUGUACUUUGAACUGUGAAUUGUGGUGCAAAGGGAGGUAACUCUGAUACAGUGGAAAGUAACAUUCCCCUAUUCAAGAGAAGAAAGGCAGCGUGACGAUGACUACUCAGGGUGCUGCUGACAGACGUUUCAUCAACAUUCGCGAAUCGACCAAAGCGUUAAUAGAUCAUGACCAUACAGAAUACAUGUCCACUUACUUUGAAAGGUCAUCACUAAGACUGUUAAAACAACAUGGCAUCAUCUUCAUCAAAGGGAGAUCCGGUUCUGGUAAGUCGAGACUGGGACUGAGACUCCUGUCAGAGGUAGCCAAGGAGGAAGGACGAACUCCACUGAUACUUACAUCAGCCAAAGAAUGGAAGCUAAUACCACAAAGAAGGGGACAGCGUAAAUGCCAAUAUAUUAUAAUGGUCGACAACAUUUUUGGUUCGAGCAACUUUGUCGAAUCGAC